GUCAGGUCAGUCGGAUGUGAAAGCCCCGGGCUCAACUUGGGAAUUGCAUUCGAUACUGCCUGGCUAGAGUAUGGGAGAGGGAAGCGGAAUUUCCGGUGUAGCGGUGAAAUGCGUAGAUAUCGGAAGGAACAUCAGUGGCGAAGGCGGCUUCCUGGACCAAUACUGACGCUGAGGUGCGAAAGCGUGGGGAGCGAACAGGAUUAGAUACCCUGGUAGUCCACGCCGUAAACGAUGAGAACUAGAUGUUGGAAGGAUUUGCCUUUCAGUGUCGCAGCUAACGCACUAAGUUCUCCGCCUGGGGAGUACGCCGGCAACGGUAAAACUCAAAGGAAUUGACGGGGACCCGCACAAGCGGUGGAGCAUGUGGUUUAAUUCGAUGCAACGCGAAGAACCUUACCUGGCCUUGACAUCCUGGGAACCCCGCAGAGAUGGGGGGUGCCUUCGGGAACCCAGUGACAGGUGCUGCAUGGCUGUCGUCAGCUCGUGUCAUGAGAUGUUGGGUUAAGUCCCGCAACGAGCGCAACCCUUGUUCCUAGUUGCCAGCAUUUCGGAUGGGCACUCUAGGGAGACCGCCGGUGACAAACCGGAGGAAGGUGGGGAUGACGUCAAGUCAUCAUGGCCCUUAUGGCCAGGGCUACACACGUGCUACAAUGGACGGUACAGAGGGUUGCCAACCCGCGAGGGGGAGCCAAUCCCACAAAGCCGUUCGUAGUCCGGAUCGGAGUCGCAACUCGACUCCGUGAAGUC
rnacentral:rRNA from 1 species